rnacentral:lncRNA from 1 species
ACCGGUCCAUCAAAUUCAAAAGAGCAGGUCUCGUGGUCCCUUCAACAACCUGGAUUUUGAUCCCCCAUCCUUUGACCUAGGGUUCGACAGCAUGCCAGCGCCGCCACUGCAUGCAGUCGGGUCAGUCCAGGAACUGCAGCAGGAACACAUGAUUAUUGACGACGAGUGGGAUGAUGAUACAAUUGCACAAGCAUGCGCCAUCGCAGACCAGAUUGAUCGUGAAAGGGGUACCGAAGCAGUUGAUAAGGAUAAGCAAG